GAUGAAGAACGUAGUGAAAUGCGAUAAGUAAUGUGAAUUGCAGAAUUCAGUGAAUCAUCGAAUCUUUGAACGCACAUUGCGCCCGCCAGUAUUCUGGCGGGCAUGCCUGUUCGAGCGUCAUUACAACCCUCAGGCCCCCGGGCCUGGCGUUGGGGAUCGGCGGAAGCCCCCUGCGGGCACAACGCCGUCCCCCAAAUACAGUGGCGGUCCCGCCGCAGCUUCCAUUGCGUAGUAGCUAACACCUCGCAACUGGAGAGCGGCGCGGCCACGCCGUAAAACACCCAACUUCUGAAUGUUGACCUCGAAUCAGGUAGGAAUACCCGCUGAACUUAAGCAUACCAAUAAGCGGAGGA
rnacentral:misc_RNA from 1 species